CAAACCUGGAACCUCUCAGGGAAAGGAGUGCUAGGAAGUGGCUCCAAGUCUCAGAUGGGACUCCUGGGGGUGCCACGUUGAUAACAGGUUAUAUGUAUUUUGAAACAGGAAAUCUCGCCAUCCUCACCAAAGCCAUUUCCUUGAGAGGAUUUUAUCUGGUUUGUCUCCUUGACUCCAGGCAGGGCUCCAUUCCAACCAGAUGGAAGAAUGCAGACAUCUCACAUCAUUUACACCCAGAAGGCUGUCAGCAGCAGCGCUCAGGGAGUGAGAGUGUUUAAUCUCGAGGAGGAAAUAGAAUGUAUACACACCCUGCAAACUGAGAUGUUUUACGUUGGCUCUGGCUCCUACCGCCCCCCAUGUGUGGCAGCAGCUACCAAGACUCUACUGUGAAUCCCCAUGACUGCAAUGAGAAUGAACAAAAUGAACAACCUGCAGCAACAUGAAUGGACCUCACAAGGAUAAUGUUGAACAUAAGAAGCCAGGCACAAAAGAGUGCAUAUUUUUGUGUCUGACUCCAUUACAUGAAGUUCAAGAAGAAGAAACAUUAAUGUAUGGUUUUGGAAGGCAGGAUGUGGGGAGGUAGUUGGGGCAUGAGGAGGUUUUGGGGGUACAGGGUGGUGGCAGUGUUUUGCUUCUGGUUCUGGGGGAUGGCUAAGUGUGUGUUCAUUUCAUGUAAGUUCAUAUGCAUUUGUGCAAUUGCCUGUAAAGUUGUCAUACUUCGAUAAUAUUAAAAAUAUGAAAAAUAAAAAUAUAAAGCCCA